rnacentral:tRNA from 1 species
GCCUCGGUGGUGGAAUUGGUAGACACACUAGCUUCAGGUGCUAGCGUUCGCAAGGACAUGGGGGUUCGAGUCCCCCCUGAGGCA